UACGGAGGGGGCUAGCGUUGUUCGGAAUUACUGGGCGUAAAGCGCGCGUAGGCGGACCUGCAAGUCGGGGGGUGAAAGCCCGAGGCUCAACCUCGGAACUGCCUUCGAUACUGCGGGUCUCGAGUCCGGGAGAGGUGAGUGGAAUUCCUAGUGUAGAGGUGAAAUUCGUAGAUAUUCGGAAGAACACCAGUGGCGAAGGCGACUCACUGGACACGUAUUGACGCUGAGGAGCGAAAGCCAGGGGAGCAAAGCGGGGAUUAAGCAAACCC
rnacentral:rRNA from 1 species